CUCAAUCCAGUUCUGAGUUCAGCUGCUUAUAGCCAGUGGUCAAUGUACCCUGUUUCCAGGGUACUGGUCCCUGGUGCUUCCAUGGCAGCUCUUCUUAUGUGACCAUGGGGAUUCUAGGUCUGCUAUCCCAGCAGCAGCAGCAGAGGGGUCUCUGGCUCAUUAUAGACAGUGCUGUCUUUAACCUCCUGGGAAGACAGUAUCGGCAUGGGAAAGCAACCAGCCCCCAGGAACAGGGCACAUUCUUCCUCAACAUUCCAAUCCCAAACUCGCAGAGAGGGUCAGUGACUUGUCCACCAGGCUCAGCAGCUGUGUGCCCCAGAUGCCUCUCUGUCAAACAGAAACAGAGAACAUGGCUUUCCUUCUCUAUACCCCAGCAAGGAAAGAUCUUGUUGCCUCCCGGAGCCUGGGUGGAACCUCCCCUGCUGCCUGCCCCAAGGGCUUCUCACUGCAGCGUGUUGACAGCACGGGAGGUGCGGCCCUGGCCCCCUCCCCGUGCCGGUUCCAUAUGGGGGAGCCGGGCACUGGAGCCCCCUCCUGCACCGGCCCCCAGGGGAGGAAGCCGCCUGUCAGGCCGCCUCGGCGUGUCAAAUCCUCUUGCUGCCUAAUUGUGAGACGGCGGCGUUUAAAGAAACGCUUUUCUGGCCGCCUGCCACACCGCAAACUGCUUGGUAUAAUUUUAUUAUUAAGCAGAGAGAAAAAGAGAAGGGGCUGGGGGAGAGAGAAAGGGGAGAGCAGAGGAAAUUGCUUCGUCCAAGUCAGCUGGUGGAGUAUUCCGCUCAAUGUGAAAGCGGGGGACAGCUUUCCAGUUGGCAAGCUGACUCCGUUAAUUGCGCAUUCAGUCUCUACUUAGGGUAAUUGGAACGAAGCGGGGCCUAGCUCUGACAAUUAGGGUCUGCGACUAGGCCAUUAACCCUUUCCGCAACCAGCCCCCGCCCCAUCGACAGCAGGCGGGGUAGGGCGCGGGCGAGGACCCCACACUGAGGUGCGGGCGGCAGCACGGAGCUGGCUGGGGAGCCGCGCGGAGGGCGGGGUCUGCGGCCUCUCCGCCACUGCUACAGAUGUUUCGGCCAUGUAAGACAAAGGCAGAGCGCGGCCGUCGCCGGGAGAAAAUCCGCAGGACUCCCUCAGGGGCAGCCGCCCUCGGAAGUCAGCCGAGUGAAGCAGCUGUUCCUUGCACACUCCACUUGACCAAAGAUGAUGAUAAAUGAGGCCAGGGCUGCGUCAGGGACGCGGCGGCGAGGGCCGUGCAGGGCGGGGCGUGGGGCCCGCAGCCCCCGCACUCCGCUCGGCUAAGUGCGCGCCCGCAAAGGACAGCGUCCGAGCGCCCCCCGCCCGGCACACCUUCCCGAAGGUCCGCACCCUUCCUCGAACGCGGGGGUCCCCGUGGCGUCCUCGCAUCCUCCCACAGCAUGCGCGCCCCAAACCUAUUAAUGCUCGUAAAUAAUGAAUAAAGGAGCGCUUCCUACA